CCGGAACGAAGUUUGUAACUUUCUACCGGUCGCUCAGAUGCCGAUACUUACAGUCAGACAAGACUGGGAGACAGAAUCCAUGAGGCGCCUUGAGGAUUUUGAGACUUGUAUGAGGUACAAAUUAUAUUAUCGGUGUUUUCCUAUAGGUGGACUGUACAGCAGGGUUAACUGCAAAGUUCAAAUCUUGGUCCGCUAAAUGUCCCCGGAUUUCUAUGAUGUGAUAUUUUGCAUCAUCUUGUCAAUGGCUUCUACGAAGAGGAAUGGAGAAUAGUGCAGUCUCAUCUUUCACUCAUCUCAACCUGGAGCUAUUCUGUUAGAUUGACAUCAAAAACAAUGCCUCAUCCAACAUUUUGAUGAAAAGCCCUAUUAAGUAUGGCACCCUGCCCAGGAUUGGUUCCUGCCUUGUGCCCU